CUGCAGCUCAAGGGGUGAUCAUUAUUAUUGGGCCUAAAACGUCCGUAGCCGGUUUAGUAAAUGCCUGGGUAAAUCGUGUAGCUUAACUAUACGACUUCCGGGUAGACUGCUAAACUUGAGACCGGGAGAGGCUAGAGGUACUCCUGGGGUAGAGGUGAAAUUCUGUAAUCCUAGGGGGACCACCAGUGGCGAAGGCGUCUAGCUAGAACGGGUCUGACGGUGAGGGACGAAGCCCUGGGGCACAAACCGGAUUAGAUACCCGCGUAGUCC
rnacentral:rRNA from 1 species